GUUGAACGCUGGCGGCGUGCUUAACACAUGCAAGUCGAACGAUGAAGCCCAGCUUGCUGGGUGGAUUAGUGGCGAACGGGUGAGUAACACGUGAGUAACCUGCCCUUAACUCUGGGAUAAGCCUGGGAAACUGGGUCUAAUACCGGAUAGGAGCGUCCACCGCAUGGUGGGUGUUGGAAAGAUUUAUCGGUUUUGGAUGGACUCGCGGCCUAUCAGCUUGUUGGUGAGGUAAUGGCUCACCAAGGCGACGACGGGUAGCCGGCCUGAGAGGGUGACCGGCCACACUGGGACUGAGACACGGCCCAGACUCCUACGGGAGGCAGCAGUGGGGAAUAUUGCACAAUGGGCGCAAGCCUGAUGCAGCGACGCCGCGUGAGGGAUGACGGCCUUCGGGUGGUAAACCUCUUUCAGUAGGGAAGAAGCGAAAGUGACGGUACCUGCAGAAGAAGCACCGGCUAACUACGG
rnacentral:rRNA from 1 species